rnacentral:rRNA from 1 species
AUACGGAGGAUGCGAGCGUUAUCCGGAUUUAUUGGGUUUAAAGGGUGCGCAGGCGGCCAUUUAAGUCAGCGGUUAAAUCGUGGGGCUCAACCCCAUUCUGCCGUUGAUACUGGGUGGCUUGAUUGCGGUCGAGGUUGGCGGAAUUCGUUGUGUAGCGGUGAAAUGCAUAGAUAUGACGAAGAACACCGAUUGCGUAGGCAGCUGACCAGACCGCAAAUGACGCUCAUGCACGAAAGUGCGGGGAUCGAACAGGAUUAGAUACCCUAGUAGUCCGCACAGUAAACGAUGAAUACUUGUUUUCGGCGAUAUAAUGUCGGAGGCAAAGCGAAAGCGAUAAGUAUUCCACCUGGGGAGUACGCCGGCAACGGUGAAACUCAAAUGAAUUGGCGGGG